rnacentral:rRNA from 1 species
AGCAGGACGCGACGGGAGGAGCGCCUGCGAACAAGAAGUGCGAACACCAAUAAGGGGAGAGAGAACAUUCAGUGUGAACAUUAGUAGUGGCGGACGGGUGAGUAACGCGUGGGCAACCUACCAUAAGAGGGGAUAACAGCUGGAAACGGCUGCUAAUACCGCAUAAGCUAGCGGGGACGCAUGUUUCUGUUAGUAAAGAUGGCCUCUUAACAAUGCUAUCGCUUAUGGAUGGGCCCGCGUCUGAUUAGCUAGUUGGUGGGGUAACGGCCUACCAAGGCGACGAUCAGUAGCCGGCCUGAGAGGGUGGACGGCCACACUGGGACUGAGACACGGCCCAGACUCCUACGGGAGGCAGCAGUGGGGAAUAUUGCGCAAUGGGGGGAACCCUGACGCAGCGACGCCGCGUGAGCGAAGAAGGCCUUAGGGUUGUAAAGCUCUGUUUUAAGGGACGAAAGCCUGGAGCAAUAACACGGCUUUAGGAUGACGGUACCUUAAGAGGAAGCCCCGGCUAACUACGUG